CUCGCUAUAGCAUAGUGGUAUUGCGCCGGACUGUAAAUGUUAACUGUCUACCUCCCGUCCGAUAGGACGAGUAAUCCGUAGGUCCCCUGUUCGAAUCAGGGUAGCGAGA